GAUGAAGAACGUAGCGAAAUGCGAUAAGUAGUGUGAAUUGCAGAAUUCAGUGAAUCAUCGAAUCUUUGAACGCACAUUGCGCCCCUUGGUAUUCCAUGGGGCAUGCCUGUUCGAGCGUCAUUUGUACCUUCAAGCUUUGCUUGGUGUUGGGUGUUUGUCCCGAGGGACUCGCCUUAAAGUAAUUGGCAGCCAGUGUUUGGUUUUGAAGCGCAGCACAAGUCGCGAUUCAAGGCUACACGCCCGCUUCCACAAGCCUUUUUUCACUUUUGACCUCGAAUCAGGUAGGGAUACCCGCUGAACUUAAGCAUAUCAAUAAGCGGAGGA
rnacentral:misc_RNA from 1 species